AUGUUCGCCGACAGUUGACUAUUCUCAACCAACCAUAAAGAUAUCGGGACAUUGUAUUUAUUAUUUGGUGCAUGAGCAGGGAUAGUCGAUACAGCUUUAAGCCUUAUUCGAGCUGAACUGGGUCACCCAGGUACUCUACUAGAUGAUCAAAUUUAUAAUGUCAUUGUUACAGCUUAUGCAUUUGUCAUAAUUUUCUUUAUAGUAAUACUAUAAUUGGAGGUCUUGGCAAUUGAUUAGUCCCUCUGAUAAUUGGCACCCCCGAUAUAGCACUUCUCCACAUAAAUAAUAUGAGCUUCUGACUCCUCCCACCCUCCUUCCUGUUAUUACUUGCAUCCACUAUAGUAGGGGCCGGCACUGGAACCGGCUCAACAGUCUCUCUUCCCUUAGCAGGAAACCUAACACAUGCAGGCGCCUCUGUAGAUUUCACUAUCUUUUCACUCCACUUGGCAGAUGUUUCUUCUAUUUUAGGGGCUAUUAACUUUAUUACCACAAUUGUUAAUAUAAAACCCCCAGCCAUGUCCCAAUAUCACACACCCCUCUUCAUCUGAUUGGUCCUAAUUACAGCAGUUCUUUUAUUCCUUUGUCUCCCAGUCCUAGCCGCCGGCAUUACUAUGUUGUUAAAUGACCGCAAUCUUAGUACUACUUUUUUCUACCUGGCUGGCGGAGGUGAUCCUAUCUUAUAUCAGCAUUUAUUCAGAUUAUUUGGUUACCCUGAAGUCUACAUCCUCAUCCGACUGGGCUUUGGGAUAAUUUCCCACAUUGUAACAUAUUAUUCUGGAAAAAAAAGAACCAUUCGGGUAUAUGGGCCUAGUGUGAGCUAUAGGAUCAAUUGGGUUCUUACGGUUUAUCGUAUGGGCCCACUGUAUAUUUACAGUAGGGAUAGAUGUGGAUACAUGAGCUUGCUUCACCUCUGCUACUAUAAUUAUUGCUAUUCCUACUGGCGUCAAAGUUUUUAGCUGACUAGCUAGCUACACUUCAUGGCGGGAAUAUCAAAUGAUCCCCCGCAAUGCUCUGAGCCUGGGGAUUUAUUUUCCUUUUUACAGUAGGAGGCCUAACUGGCAUUGUGUUGGCUGAGGCUUAUAUUACGGUUCAUUUA
rnacentral:lncRNA from 1 species